rnacentral:rRNA from 1 species
UACGUAGGGUGCGAGCGUUGUCCGGAAUUACUGGGCGUAAAGAGCUCGUAGGUGGUUUGUCGCGUUGUCCGUGAAAAACUCACAACUCAAUUGUGGGCGUGCGGGCGAUACGGGCAGACUGGAGUACUGCAGGGGAGACUGGAAUUCCUGGUGUAGCGGUGAAAUGCGCAGAUAUCAGGAGGAACACCGGUGGCGAAGGCGGGUCUCUGGGGCCGAUACUGACGCUGAGGAGCGAAAGCGUGGGGAGCGAACAGG